UACGUAGGUGGCAAGCGUUGUCCGGAAUUAUUGGGCGUAAAGAGCUCGUAGGCGGCUUGUCGCGUCGCUGUGAAAACCUGGGGCUCAACCCCGGGCCUGCAGCCGAUACGGGCAAGCUAGAAUUCGGUAGGGGGACUGGAAUUCUCGGUGUAGCAGUGAAAUGCGUAGAUAUCGAGAGGAACACCAGUGGCGAAGGCGAGUCCCUGGACAACUCCUGACACUGAGGCACGAAAGCUAGGGGAGCAAACAGG
rnacentral:rRNA from 1 species